GAUGAACGCUAGCGGCAGGCUUUAACACAUGCAAGUCGAGGGGCAGCACGAGGUAGCAAUACUUGGUGGCGACCGGCGCACGGGUGCGUAACGCGUAUGCAACUUACCUAUCAGAGUGGGAUAACCCGGCGAAAAGUCGGACUAAUACCGCAUGAAACAGGGGUCCCGCAUGGGAAUAUUUGUUAAAGAUUUAUUGCUGAUAGAUAGGCAUGCGUUCCAUUAGAUAGUUGGUGAGGUAAACGGCUCACCAAGUCAGCGAUGGAUAGGGGUUCUGAGAGGAAGGUCCCCCACAUUGGUACUGAGACACGGACCAAACUCCUACGGGAGGCAGCAGUGAGGAAUAUUGGUCAAUGGGCGAGAGCCUGAAACCAGCCAAAGUCGCGUGAAAGGAAUGAAGGUUCUAUGGAUUGUAAAACUUCUUUUAGAGGGGAAUAAAGUG
rnacentral:rRNA from 1 species